AUCGUAAAACUCUGUUGUUGGUGAAGAACAGAUCUGAGAGUAACUGUUCAGGUAUUGACGGUAUUUAACCAGAAAGCCACGGCUAACUACGUGCCAGCAGCCGCGGUAAUACGUAGGUGGCAAGCGUUGUCCGGAUUUAUUGGGCGUAAAGCGAGCGCAGGCGGUUUUUUAAGUCUGAUGUGAAAGCCUUCGGCUCAACCGAGGAAGUGCAUCGGAAACUGGGAAACUUGAGUGCAGAAGAGGAGAGUGGAAUUCCAUGUGUAGCGGUGAAAUGCGUAGAUAUAUGGAAGAACACCAGUGGCGAAGGCGGCUCUCUGGUCUGUAACUGACGCUGAGGCUCGAAAGCAUGGGUAGCAAACAGGAUUAGAUACCCUGGUAGUCCAUGCCGUAAACGAUGAAUGCUAAGUGUUGGAGGGUUUCCGCCCUUCAGUGCUGCAGCUAACGCAUUAAGCACUCCGCCUGGGGAGUACGGCCGCAAGGUUGAAACUCAAAGGAAUUGACGGGGGCCCGCACAAGCGGUGGAGCAUGUGGUUUAAUUCGAAGCUACGCGA
rnacentral:rRNA from 2 species